GAUGAAGAACGCAGCGAAAUGCGAUAAGUAAUGUGAAUUGCAGAAUUCAGUGAAUCAUCGAAUCUUUGAACGCACAUUGCGCCCGCCAGUAUUCUGGCGGGCAUGCCUGUUCGAGCGUCAUUUCAACCAUCAAGCCCCCGGCUUGUGUUGGGGACCUGCGGCUGCCGCAGGCCCUGAAAAGCAGUGGCGGGCUCGCUGUCACACCGAGCGUAGUAGAUUUUAUCUCGCUCAGGGCGUGCUGCGGGUUCCGGCCGUUAAAAAGCCUUUUUUACCCAAGGUUGACCUCGGAUCAGGUAGGAAUACCCGCUGAACUUAAGCAUAUCAAUAAGCGGAGGA
rnacentral:misc_RNA from 1 species